rnacentral:rRNA from 1 species
UACGGAGGUGGCAAGCGUUGUUCGGAAUUACUGGGCGUAAAGGGCGCGUAGGCGGCCGGGCAAGUCAGGUGUGAAAGCCCCGGGCUCAACUCGGGAACUGCAUCUGAAACUGCUUUGCUUGAGUCCUGGAGGGGGUAGUGGAAUUCCCAGUGUAGCGGUGAAAUGCGUAGAUAUUGGGAGGAACACCGGUGGCGAAGGCGGCUACCUGGACAGUGACUGACGCUGAGGCGCGAAAGCUAGGGGAGCGAACGGG